rnacentral:rRNA from 1 species
AUGACGUGCAACCACUGGUGCCGCCUCGUACUUAAGGCCUCCUUUGUUCGCCGCAGCCGUUGGCCCGACCACGAGACGGCGUCGUUCCUCCCCGGUUUCUUCCUCUGGGAGAAAAUCGUCAUCAAGGACGACCCGACCUUUGUGACACGCUUCGUCCCCGCGCCAGGGUCGGUGUUUGGUUCUGACCGUCGCUCUCUAGAGUCAUUUUUCCCGAGAGCAGAACAAGUGGCACAGAAGGCCGUAAAAGAGGCCCGCUGCACAAUGUUGUGCCGCUCGUCGUUCACCACGGCCUCCUCCUCGUACGCCUGGAUACACCUACUAGCAAAGGCAAAAGAAAAGGUUGCUUGA